GCUUGGGUAGCUCAGCUGGUAGAGCACUUGCCGGCCGCGCAAGACCGCUACGGUCGCAGGUUCGAAUCCUGCCUCGGGCA